UAGGGAAUCUUCGGCAAUGGACGAAAGUCUGCCCGAGCAACGCCGCGUGAGUGAAGAAGGUUUUCGGAUCGUAAAACUCUGUCGUUAGAGAAGAACAAGGACGUUAGUAACUGAACGUCUCCUGACGGUCUCUAACCAGAAAGCCACGGCUAACUACGUGCCAGCAGCCGCGGUAAUACGUAGGUGGCAAGCGCUGUCCGGAGUUAUUGGGCGUAAAGCGAGCGCAGGCGGUUUCUUAAGUCUGAUGUGAAAGCCCGCGGCUCAACCGGGGAGGGUCAUUGGAAACUGGGGGACUUGAGGGCAGAAGAGGAGAGUGGAAUUCCAUGUGUGGCGGUGAAAUGCGUAAAUAUAUGGAGGAACACCGGUGGCGAAGGCGGCUCUCUGGUCUGUAACUGACGCUGAGGCUCGAAAGCGUGGGGAGCAAACAGU
rnacentral:rRNA from 1 species